AAGUCGUAACAAGGUUUCCGUAGGUGAACCUGCGGAAGGAUCAUUACUGAGUUAGGGUCCUCUGGGCCCGAACCUCCAACCCUAUGUUUAACUACCUUUGUUGCUUUGGCAGGCCCGUUCUUAACGGGACCGCCGGAGGUGUUUAGUCACCUCUGGCCCGUGCCUGCCAGUAGCCUACACCAAAUUCUUUUACAAUUUUGUCUAAGUAUUAAUAUAAUUUAAUCAAAA
rnacentral:misc_RNA from 1 species